rnacentral:rRNA from 1 species
UCAGGAUGAACGCUAGCGGCAGGCUAACACAUGCAAGUCGAGGGGCAGCGGGAUGUAGCAAUACAUUGCCGGCGACCGGCGGAUGGGUGCGUAACGCGUAUGCAACCUACCUUAUACAGGGGAAUAACCUUUCGAAAGGGAGACUAACACCCCAUAGUAUUGAUUUAAGGCAUCUUAGAUUAAUUAAAUAUUUAUAGGUAUAAGAUGGGCAUGCGUAUGAUUAGCUAGUUGGUAAGGUAGCGGCUUACCAAGGCGACGAUCAUUAGGGGUUCUGAGAGGAAGGUCCCCCACACUGGUACUGAGACACGGACCAGACUCCUACGGGAGGCAGCAGUGAGGAAUAUUGGUCAAUGGGCGCAAGCCUGAACCAGCCAUGCCGCGUGCAGGAAAAGACGGCCUUAUGGGUUGUAAACUGCUUUUACAUAAGACUAACCGUAUAUUUGCGAAUAUACCUGAAUGUAUUAUGAGAAUAAGGAUCGGCUAACUCCGUGCCAGCCGCUGC